GAGCAAGACUCCAUCUCAAACAAACAAAGAAACUGAUUACAGAUGUACAACAUCAUGCCUGGCUACCACAUAUGAUCUUUUAACAGUAAACGUUAUAGUUCUCAGAACAUCUGAUUGUUCCAAGACAUAUUCUUCAGAUAACACCUAAGCUGCACUGCUGUGAAA